rnacentral:rRNA from 1 species
CCUACGGGGCGCAGCAGUGAGGAAUAUUGGUCAAUGGGCGAGAGCCUGAACCAGCCAAGUCGCGUGAGGGAGUACUGCCCUAUGGGUUGUAAACCUCUUUUGUCGGGGAGCACAAGCCGGACGUUUACGGCUGUGAGAGUACCCGAAGAAAAAGCAUCGGCUAACUCCGUGGUAGCAGCCGCGGUAAUACGGAGGAUGCGAGCGUUAUCAGGAUUUUUUGGGGUUAAAGGGGUCGCAGGCGGAUGUUUAAGUCAGCGGUAAAAAAGUGGGGCUCAACCCCAUCCAGCCGUGGAAACUGGGGAUCUAGAGUGUGCGAGAGGUAUGCGGAAUGCGUGGUGUAGCGGUGAAAUGCAUAGAUAUCACGCAGAACACCGAUUGCGAAGGCAGCAUACCGGUGCACAACUGACGCUCAGGCACGAAAGCGUGGGUAUCGAACAGGAUUAGAUACCCUAGUAGUC